UGGGGAAUAUUGCACAAUGGGCGCAAGCCUGAUGCAGCCAUGCCGCGUGUGUGAAGAAGGCCUUCGGUUGUAAGCACUUUCAGCGAGGAGGAAGGGUAGUGUGUUAAUAGCACAUUGCAUUGACGUUACUCGCAGAAGAAGCACCGGCUAACUCCGUGCCAGCAGCCGCGGUAAUACGGAGGGUGCAAGCGUUAAUCGGAAUUACUGGGCGUAAAGCGCACGCAGGCGGUUUGUUAAGUCAGAUGUGAAAUCCCCGCGCUUAACGUGGAAC
rnacentral:rRNA from 1 species